rnacentral:rRNA from 1 species
GUGCAGGAAGACGGCCCUAUGGGUUGUAAACUGCUUUUAUACAGGAAGAAACACCUCUACGAGUAGAGGCUUGACGGUACUGUAAGAAUAAGGAUCGGCUAACUCCGUGCCAGCAGCCGCGGUAAUACGGAGGAUCCAAGCGUUAUCCGGAAUCAUUGGGUUUAAAGGGUCCGUAGGUGGAUAAUUAAGUCAGGGGUGAAAGUCUGCAGCUCAACUGUAGAAUUGCCCUUGAUACUGGUUGUCUUGAGUCAUUAUGAAGUAGUUAGAAUAUGUAGUGUAGCGGUGAAAUGCAUAGAUAUUACGUAGAAUACCAAUUGCGAAGGCAGAUUACUAAUAAUGUACUGACACUGAUGGACGAAAGCGUGGGGAGCGAACAGGAUUAGAUACCCUGGUAGUCCACGCCGU